CACGUAGGGUCCGAGCGUUGUCCGGAAUUACUGGGCGUAAAGGGCUCGUAGGCGGCCAACUAAGUCAGACGUGAAAUCCCUCGGCUCAACCGGGGAACUGCAUCUGAUACUGGAUGGCUUGAGAUUGGGAGAGGGAUGUGGAAUUCCAGGUGUAGCGGUGAAAUGCGUAGAUAUCUGGAGGAACACCGGUGGCGAAGGCGGCAUCCUGGACCGGUAUUGACGCUGAGGCGCGAAAGCUAGGGGAGCAAACGGG
rnacentral:rRNA from 1 species